CCUACGGGAGGCAGCAGUGAGGAAUAUUGGUCAAUGGACGAGAGUCUGAACCAGCCAAGUAGCGUGAAGGAUGACUGCCCUAUGGGUUGUAAACUUCUUUUAUAUGGAAAUAAAACGUUCCACGUGUGGGAUUUUGUAUGUACCAUAUGAAUAAGGAUCGGCUAACUCCGUGCCAGCAGCCGCGGUAAUACGGAGGAUCCGAGCGUUAUCCGGAUUUAUUGGGUUUAAAGGGAGCGUAGGUGGAUUGUUAAGUCAGUUGUGAAAGUUUGCGGCUCAACCGUAAAAUUGCAGUUGAAACUGGCAGUCUUGAGUACAGUAGAGGUGGGCGGAAUUCGUGGUGUAGCGGUGAAAUGCUUAGAUAUCACGAAGAACUCCGAUUGCGAAGGCAGUUCACUGGACUGCAACUGACACUGAGGCGCGAAAGUGUGGGUAUCAAACAGGAUUAGAUACCCGUGUAGUC
rnacentral:rRNA from 1 species